rnacentral:lncRNA from 1 species
UUUGUUUUUCACUGUGUUUCAUUCUUGGCUUUCAAAUAACCUUUGUCUUCACGCACAACAGUUGUCUUCUCUCAGUCUAGGGUUACACAACCAUUACCAUGGUGGGCUGCACUAAACCCUAAAUGUACCCUAAUAGGCUUUUCUUCACGUACGUUCCUUUAUCCUUGCAUCAGCCUCUACAAAUCAGGAACGGCGAAAAAUUUAGUCUUAGGUUUGUCAAAAUCAGCAUCGGAAGCGCGACGAAGUGAGCAAGCAGCAACGACGACCAAAACAACCCGAAACGGCAGUCAUUUAGGGAUUCGGAUUUCGGAUUUUGCGGCAAGUGCAGCGACGGCGGUGACUCGGAUUCUCCUUUCUUUCGAUUUCAGGUUACCUCAAAUCGAUAACAGUCGAACACCUCCGCACGAACUCUCAGGCCACGGAGAACUCUCAGACCACGGAUCGAUUGAACAGAGGUGCUGAUUGUUUGUCGGUUGGAGAAGGGGCGUUUGUGGAGCACCACCCGAGCGGAAGGGUUUUCGUGGAAUAAAGAUCUAUGCCCUUAGACAAUUUGAAUCAAUUGCGUUCAGGUUCUCUAUUGGUUUUGCGAGUCGUUACAGGUGUGAUAUGCUGAGGAUAGGGCUACUGGAUUAAUGAGCUGGAGGUAUGGGCUUGCUGAGGAUUGAAGAUAUGGGCUUACCGAGGAUUGGACUAAUGGGCUUGUUGACUUCUAGAAGAUGUGCGCAUGGGCUUCAAGUACUGUUGCCCUAAGUGAUUGGGAUAUAUAACUGACUUCAUCAGUCACAAUCUCUAACACCUCAAAUAUUUUCUCUCUCUAGAUUCAUCUGUUGAGAGAACUUUCUCUCCUAGGUUUACACGUUUAAGGUCUUUCUUGAUGAUCUCUUGUUGAGAUCUUGUGUCAGUGUGUUAGAUCUUGUGAUUAGUGUAUGCAGAUCAUCUAGUUGAUGAUUUGCUUGUGAGGAGUAAUUUGUUCAUAUUUGUAUAGUUUUCUAGUUAUUGUUGAGUUUUUAUCAGUUUAAAGUCUUUGAUCCAUGUUUUUUACAUGGUAUCAGAGCCAUUAGUGCUCUUUGGGUUAAUCGCUUCCAUUUUUAGUCACUGAUUGUGAAUCUUUGUUCUAGGGUUUCAUAAUUUUUUGGGGAUUUUGUUGUCUUCUUGGAAUAUUGCAUAGAUUUUAUAAGAUCUGGGUAUUUCUAGUCCGUUAAAGAAGACAGAUCUAAGGUCUUGGUAGACUACGUGUUUGUCGACUUCAGAUCUUGGAAAGGAUUCUUGGAGGCUGCUGAUCUGGUUAGGGUUUAAUCCUCGAAGAUUGUAAAACCUUAAACUAAUUUGGAGAAACCCUUACUUAGGUUUGCUUACUUGGUGAGAUUGUUAUUUCUUUUACGUAUUUUUAUUUUUCAUUGCAUUUAGGCAUUAUUGUUGUCGGACUAGUCGGGCCAGUUUGUUGAUUUGGGACACAGAGAGGGUACAAUAUGUUGCAUUCAUUUUGUGAUAUUUGUCGGACUACUGGUUCUUUAUCAGAUAGAAUACAGCUUCUGUACAAAGGCCUAGGUAGGCACCAUUUAAGUGACGAACCUACUAUCUGGCCCCUGGUACAGUUUGCAGUGUAGGAUUAUAUUCUACUUGUUUAGUUGAAGUGUAUGCUCUAAUUGUUACUUGUUGAAUUGGUUUGUGGUAUUUGAUUUCUUGAGUAGUA